GAUGAAGAACGUAGCGAAAUGCGAUAAGUAAUGUGAAUUGCAGAAUUCAGUGAAUCAUCGAAUCUUUGAACGCACAUUGCGCCCGCUAGUAUUCUGGCGGGCAUGCCUGCUCGAGCGUCAUUUCAACCAUCAAGCCCCAGGCUUGUGUUGGGGGCCUGCGGCUGCCGCAGCCCCUGAAAAGCAGUGGCGGGCUCGCUGUCAUUCCGAGCGCAGUAGUUACAUCUCGCUCCGGGCGUGGCGGUGGGCACCUGCCGUGAAACACUCCUUCUAAGGUUGACCUCGGAUCAGGUAGGAAUACCCGCUGAACUUAAGCAUAUCAAUAAGCGGAGGA
rnacentral:misc_RNA from 1 species